UUUCAUUUCUUUCCGUUCUCCCCUUUCCUCUCUGCUGCUGCUGAUUUUCAUGGCGAUGAGAAAUUAGAACAAGGAAAAUUAUUAUUUGUUGAUCUCGGUGAUGGAUGAGAAGAAACAGUAGAGAAAUGGGUUUGUGAUGUUCUUGAGAGAAGGCGAUGGAGAAAUUCAGGGAGAGAAGGAAUUUAGGGUUUGAUAGGGUUUCUCUGGAAUUGAAACGAAUUGAAGAAAUGGGUGUUUGUGAAGAGUUGUGGUUGUUGAUUUUCAUGGGCUUUGUGGCUGUACAGUUGGGAAAAUGGAAUUGUUGCUGCAAUUGAAGAUGGGAAGAAGUUCAGGGGAGUGGUGAUAUGAAACAAGAACUGGUGAUAGAGUUUCAGAUGGGUUUCAGCCAAGAAAGGGGAUUUGGUGCUAGAAUUUAGGUUUCUUCUGUAGUUCAAUUGAAUUGAAGAAAUUGAUAACUGAAGUAGCAGAAGAGAGAAUUGGAGAGUUGGGUAUUGUUUGAAUUCAUAUUACAGCCGAGAUUGAGAUCGAAAAAUCAUGGAAGACAAGAAAACUGCUGCUGGUUGUGUUUGUGUGAUGAUAAUUAGAGAAGACAUGGAUUUGGUAGUUGUGAUGGAAUUGGUGGUUACAAGAAUCAUAGAAGGAAGAAAUUGGCAAACUGAUUUGUGGAUGUUCGUGGUCGAAAUUGCAGACACGGGAAAUUAGGUUUUGAAGCUGAGAAGGAAGUUGUCUGUGUUGGAUGGCAAUUAUGGCUCAAGCAGCUAUAGAUGAGGCAAUUGCAGAAUGAGUCAGUGUUGGUGAUGUUCUGGUGGCAACGAAAAUGGAAAGUUGGAUUCAGCUGGUUGCAAUGGUUGUAUGCUUGAUAGCAGUUACAAGUGAUGAUAUUGCAGAGAAGAAUAAAAUGGAAUUGCAGUUGUGUUGGCAUCACAUGGAAGAAGAAAUGUUGUUGUUGCAGUUAAUGAUCAAGGAGGAAGCUGAGAAGCAGCAGCUAGUUAUGGAGAUUGAAGGAAGUUGCAGGAGCAACAAGGUGUUGGUGUUGGCUGUGCGCAAGAAGAGUAGCUGAGUUAGUGUGGUUGAAUUGUGGAUUGAUGGUCUGCGACCCGGAAGAUGCACAUGACUUAGGUGCAGGUUAUGCACUUGGAGUUGAUGGUUAAUGGGUUAUGAGGAUUGUCUUUGUAUUGAGAUGCUCUGAAGAAUGAUAUUAAGAGCUGGUGACUCAAACUGGCAGGGAAGUACAGAAAAUAAGCUUGUGGCAGUGAGCUGAGAAUGCGAAGGGAAAUGAUUCAAGUCUGCUGUUGUUGAAGACAUGGGUUUGAGCAGUUUGGAAUAGAAAAUCAAGAUGGGUUUGAGAGCUUUGGCUGUUAAUGGUGUUAACUGAAUAGCGGGUCUCUGCGAAGUUGGUAUAAGCAGGUGCAGGUGAUGAGAGGAACAAUGGGUACCUCCAGAAUCAAAUCUGGUGCUACUGAAGUUGAUCAGAAGCAAUGAUGCUGGUGGUGUUACUGAGAUGGCUUACAGUGGAAACAAUGCAAGUGCAGGGAACUGUAAUGAAUGGAAGAAGCGCAGUGGUUCGUGUUGGGUAUGGAGACUUUAAAGUGGUGUUGCUGCUGAGGUUUUGAGCUUAGCAAGGAUUGCAGUCAAGAGCUAAUAAUCUAGUAUUGCAAGAAAUGUCUGAGUUCGAAGCAAAUGAGAUGAAUUAGAGCUGGUGAGAAUUAAGAGAGGUUUGUAUUCGAGUGGUUGCUGAUAUAAGAACAAGGAAAUUGAAUGAAGAGUGAAAGAAGCAGCUGAUAGUUGAACUGAAGAUGGCGCUACUGCUGGUAAUGAACAGUGGAGAUAAUUGCAGGGAAGAAGAAUUACAAGGUUAGUGAGUUAGCUGGUGGUGCUAGAGCUGUAUUAAUGCCUUGUCAGUUCCACAAGAUUGACAGGCUAAGUUAAUUGUACAUGGGCCUGUAUUGACUGGGCUGUGUCUGCUAGUGGGCUGGAAGUGGUCAGGCUUGGUCGAGACUUUUAAGUCUUAUAUCUUAGGAGCCAAUUCACACAACAAAGGAGGCUAUAUAAGCUCUCUAGGGUUCUAUUUUAGAAAAGAUCUUAUCUUUUUCUUCUACUUUCAUUUCUAGGGUUUAGAAACAUGAUAGGUUUUAUCUUCCUCCUUGUUAUGAACUCCAUGAAUAUGAGUACCUAGUUUUUAUCAUUGGUUAAAGGAAUAAGUUGGAUUUCCAAACA